AGGUACUUCCUUACUUUCCUAAUCCACAAUUUUUAAUGGUUUUAUUCAUCUCAGAAGCUAAGCAGGGUCGGGCCUGGUUAGCACUUGGAUGGGAGACCAUCUAGGAAGACCAGGUGCUGUAGGUA
ensembl:rRNA 5S_rRNA 5S ribosomal RNA